AAUCAACGCUGGCGGCGCGCUUAACACAUGCGAGUCGCACGAGAAAGGGAGCAAUCCUGAGUAAAGUGGCGUACGGGUGAGUAACACGUGGGAAUCUACCUCUUGGCGGGGAAUAACCCUGGGAAACCGGGGCUAAUACCGCAUAAGCUCGUGAGAGGAAAGCAGCAAUGCACCGAGAGAGGAGCCCGCGGCCGAUUAGCUAGUUGGUGGGGUAAUGGCUCACCAAGGCGAAGAUCGGUAGCCGGCCUGAGAGGGCACACGGCCACACUGGCACUGAAACACGGGCCAGACUCCUACGGGAGGCAGCAGUGGGGAAUCUUGCACAAUGGGGGAAACCCUGAUGCAGCGACGCCGCGUGAGCGAUGAAGCCCUUCGGGGUGUAAAGCUCUUUCGACAGGAACGAUAAUGACGGUACCUGGAGAAGAAGCUGCGGCUAACUACGUG
rnacentral:rRNA from 1 species